rnacentral:rRNA from 1 species
UACGUAGGGCGCAAGCGUUGUCCGGAAUUAUUGGGCGUAAAGAGCUCGUAGGCGGCUUGUCACGUCGGGUGUGAAAACCUGCGGCUCAACCGUAUGGUCUGCAGUCGAUACGGGCAGGCUAGAGUUCGGUAGGGGAGACUGGAAUUCCUGGUGUAGCGGUGAAAUGCGCAGAUAUCAGGAGGAACACCAAUGGCGAAGGCAGCUCGCUGGGACGGUACUGACGCUGAGACGCGAAAGCGUGGGGAGCAAACAGG